rnacentral:rRNA from 1 species
GAAUGCUGACAUAAGUAACGAUAAAGCGGGUGAAAAGCCCGCUCGCCGGAAGACCAAGGGUUCCUGUCCAACGUUAAUCGGGGCAGGGUGAGUCGACCCCUAAGGCGAGGCCGAAAGGCGUAGUCGAUGGGAAACAGGUUAAUAUUCCUGUACUUGGUGUUACUGCGAAGGGGGGACGGAGAAGGCUAUGUUGGCCGGGCGACGGUUGUCCCGGUUUAAGCGUGUAGGCUGGUUUUCCAGGCAAAUCCGGAAAACCAAGGCUGAGGCGUGAUGACGAGGCACUACGGUGCUGAAGCGACAAAUGCCCUGCUUCCAGGAAAAGCCUCUAAGCAUCAGGUAACAUCAAAUCGUACCCCAAACCGACACAGGUGGUCAGGUAGAGAAUACCAAGGCGCUUGAGAGAACUCGGGUGAAGGAACUAGGCAAAAUGGUGCCGUAACUUCGGGAGAAGGCACGCUGAUAUGUAGGUGAAGCGACUUGCUCGUGGAGCUGAAAUCAGUCGAAGAUACCAGCUGGCUGCAACUGUUUAUUAAAAACACAGCACUGUGCAAACACGAAAGUGGACGUAUACGGUGUGACGCCUGCCCGGUGCCGGAAGGUUAAUUGAUGGGGUUAGCGG